GGUAGCGACAUCGGUGCCGGUUUCCGCAAGGAAUUGAAAGGGAAUCCGUAGCUGGCCUCACGGCCGGCCAAACGGAACUGCCCCCGCAACUGUAGGCGGUGAGCGCCGCGCGAUUUCGCCACUGGGAACCCCCCGGGAAGGCCGCGCAAGCAUCGACCCGCCAGUCAGGAGACCUGCCGGCACGAACAGUAACGC
rnacentral:ncRNA from 2 species